rnacentral:rRNA from 1 species
UACGUAGGUGGCAAGCGUUGUCCGGAAUUAUUGGGCGUAAAGCGCGCGCAGGCGGCCUCUUAAGUCUGAUGUGAAAGCCCCCGGCUCAACCGGGGAGGGCCAUUGGAAACUGGGAGGCUUGAGUAUAGGAGAGAAGAGUGGAAUUCCACGUGUAGCGGUGAAAUGCGCAGAUAUCGGGGAAGAACACCCGUGGCGAAGGCGGCUCUCUGGGACGGUACUGACGCUGAGACGCGAAAGCGUGGGGAGCGAACAGG